CAGCACAUGAGGAACACCCAGUGUGUAUGUUGAACAAUUGAGUUAUCUCCUCUUAAUAGGCACCUAUGAAGAUUUUUGUGUAUAUGUGAAUACAAUUGAGGUGGAAAAUGAUACAAGCUCUUACAGAUGAGGAAGCCUGGAGAUACUAAGAAAAAUUGAAGGCUCUGAUGGUAAUUGAUCUGUAAACUUAAGCAAAUUUGUUUUGCCCAGUGUUG